GGAUGAACGCUAGCUACAGGCUUAACACAUGCAAGUCGAGGGGCAGCAUGGUCUUAGCUUGCUAAGGCCGAUGGCGACCGGCGCACGGGUGAGUAACACGUAUCCAACCUGCCGUCUACUCUUGGACAGCCUUCUGAAAGGAAGAUUAAUACAAGAUGGCAUCAUGAGUCCGCAUGUUCACAUGAUUAAAGGUAUUCCGGUAGACGAUGGGGAUGCGUUCCAUUAGAUAGUAGGCGGGGUAACGGCCCACCUAGUCUUCGAUGGAUAGGGGUUCUGAGAGGAAGGUCCCCCACAUUGGAACUGAGACACGGUCCAAACUCCUACGGGAGGCAGCAGUGAGGAAUAUUGGUCAAUGGGCGAGAGCCUGAACCAGCCAAGUAGCGUGAAGGAUGACUGCCCUAUGGGUUGUAAACUUCUUUUAUAAAGGAAUAAAGUCGGGUAUGGAUACCCGUUUGCAUGUACUUUAUGAAUAAGGAUCGGCUAACUCCGUGCCAGCAGCCGCGGUAAUACGGAGGAUCCGAGCGUUAUCCGGAUUUAUUGGGUUUAAAGGGAGCGUAGAUGGAUGUUUAAGUCAGUUGUGAAAGUUUGCGGCUCAACCGUAAAAUUGCAGUUGAUACUGGAUAUCUUGAGUGCAGUUGAGGCAGGCGGAAUUCGUGGUGUAGCGGUGAAAUGCUUAGAUAUCACGAAGAACUCCGAUUGCGAAGGCAGCCUGCUAAGCUGCAACUGACAUUGAGGCUCGAAAGUGUGGGUAUCAAACAGGAUUAGAUACCCUGGUAGUCCACACGGUAAACGAUGAAUACUCGCUGUUUGCGAUAUACUGCAAGCGGCCAAGCGAAAGCGUUAAGUAUUCCACCUGGGGAGUACGCCGGCAACGGUGAAACUCAAAGGAAUUGACGGGGGCCCGCACAAGCGGAGGAACAUGUGGUUUAAUUCGAUGAUACGCGAGGAACCUUACCCGGGCUUAAAUUGCAGAUGAAUUACGGUGAAAGCCGUAAGCCGCAAGGCAUCUGUGAAGGUGCUGCAUGGUUGUCGUCAGCUCGUGCCGUGAGGUGUCGGCUUAAGUGCCAUAACGAGCGCAACCCUUGUUGUCAGUUACUAACAGGUUCCGCUGAGGACUCUGACAAGACUGCCAUCGUAAGAUGUGAGGAAGGUGGGGAUGACGUCAAAUCAGCACGGCCCUUACGUCCGGGGCUACACACGUGUUACAAUGGGGGGUACAGAGGGCCGCUACCACGCGAGUGGAUGCCAAUCCCCAAAACCUCUCCCAGUUCGGACUGGAGUCUGCAACCCGACUCCACGAAGCUGGAUUCGCUAGUAAUCGCGCAUCAGCCACGGCGCGGUGAAUACGUUCCCGGGCCUUGUACACACCGCCCGUCAAGCCAUGGGAGCCGGGGGUACCUGAAGUGCGUAACCGCGAGGAGCGCCCUAGGGUAAAACUGGUGAC
rnacentral:rRNA from 1 species